rnacentral:lncRNA from 1 species
AUGGCGGCGCGCGGCUGUGGCCAUCUUCGACUCGACACCGCCGCCAUCAAGUCGCUGCCGUCGGCGAUGACAGCGCGCGGCUGCGGCCGGCGUGGGAGGUGGAGGAGGGACCUCCUCACCCACAUCAUCUCCCACCCUCAGGCGCUCGCCCAGUGCGAGCUCACCCUCAACGCCAUGGGCCUCAACUCGGCUCCGGGCAUCGGUGGUGCCCGUAACCUCCUGCAGCUUCCCGAUAUCAUCCUCAACGCCCGUAACCUCCUCACCGGCAACAAAACCGCGCUCUUCGCCAUCCCAUGGCUCGUGCUCGCCAACGGCAUCCAGGACGACGCCGACGACGUGACGCGGUUCAUGACCAAGAUCGAGAGGGAGGGAACGUCACGUUGCCCGCGCCAC